rnacentral:rRNA from 1 species
UACGUAGGGUGCGAGCGUUAAUCGGAAUUACUGGGCGUAAAGCGUGCGCAGGCGGUUUUGUAAGCCAGAUGUGAAAGCCCCGGGCUCAACCUGGGAAUGGCAUUUGGGACUGCAAGGCUGGAGUUUGGCAGAGGAGACUGGAAUUCCUGGUGUAGCAGUGAAAUGCGUAGAUAUCAGGAGGAAUACCGAUGGCGAAGGCAGGAUCUCUGGGCUAUAACUGACGCUCAUGCACGAAAGCGUGGGUAGCAAACAGG